rnacentral:rRNA from 1 species
GACGAACGCUGGCGGCGUGCUUAACACAUGCAAGUCGAGCGGUAAGGCCCUUCGGGUACGACGAGCGGCGAACGGGUGAGUAACACGUGGGUGACCUGCCCUUAGCUCUGGGAUAAGCCUGGGAAACUGGGUCUAAUACCGGAUAUGACCUCAUGACGCAUGUUGUGGGGUGGAAAGCCUUGUGCGGCUAGGGAUGGGCCCGCGGCCUAUCAGCUUGUUGGUGGGGUGAUGGCCUACCAAGGCGACGACGGGUAGCCGGCCUGAGAGGGCGACCGGCCACACUGGGACUGAGACACGGCCCAGACUCCUACGGGAGGCAGCAGUGGGGAAUCUUGCGCAAUGGGCGAAAGCCUGACGCAGCGACGCCGCGUGAGGGAUGACGGCCU